CCUACGGGAGGCAGCAGUGAGGAAUAUUGGUCAAUGGCCGUAAGGCUGAACCAGCCAAGUCGCGUGAAGGAAGAAGGAUCUAUGGUUUGUAAACUUCUUUUAUAGGGGAAUAAAGGUAUCCACGUGUGGAUCUUUGCAUGUACCCUAUGAAUAAGCAUCGGCUAACUCCGUGCCAGCAGCCGCGGUAAUACGGAGGAUGCGAGCGUUAUCCGGAUUUGUUGGGUUUAAAGGGUGCGUAGGUUGUUUUUUAAGUCAGCGGUGAAAGUUUGUGGCUCAACCAUAAAAUUGCCGUUGAAACUGGAAGACUUGAGUGUGUUUGAGGUAGGCGGAAUGCGUGGUGUAGCGGUGAAAUGCAUAGAUAUCACGCAGAACUCCGAUUGCGAAGGCAGCUUACUAAGCCAUAACUGACACUGAAGCACGAAAGCGUGGGGAUCAAACAGGAUUAGAUACCCCUGUAGUC
rnacentral:rRNA from 1 species